GGUGAGUUUAGCCAUCAAAUGAAGGACGGAAUUCAAAGUUCAUUGCUAGUUUUUCAAAAGAGGUCAAGAACAUCUCUUGAAAAACUGGCAAUGUGGAAUAUAAAAAUUGAACCUGGAUCUUUCAGAGUAGAAGCACAGCAUAUUUCUACCAUGGCUAUUAGGCAGAUUCCAAAAGGGGGAAUAUUUCUUUGUGUUUGGUUUUAUGUCAUUUUCCACUCAAUGAAUAUUAAGUGGUGGAGCAUUACAGUGCUCAUCACAGGCUGCCCACACUUCUGAUAGGAUCAUCUAUGAGGCAGAGAGUGAGAU
rnacentral:lncRNA from 1 species